AGUUGUGAUCGCGUUCUGGCUGUGACAUCUGUCACCCCAUUGGUCACCUUGGUUGAUUUGGCUGAUCUGGCUUGCUAGGCGGGUGUUCCCUUCCUCCCUCACCACCCCUUGUGUGUCCCUCCUGAAGCUUCACACUUGGUCGAAGAGGAUGACCGUCCCAGAAUAGAGGAGGACUGGUCUCCAGUCAAGGGUACAGGAGUAACUGCUGCACUCCCCUGCUAGUACCUCCAAACAAGCUCUCAAAAAACAGUUUAUAAACAAAAAUAAAAUAUUCUAAGGCUUAAAGAGGAGGCCUAGUUG
rnacentral:snRNA from 1 species